rnacentral:rRNA from 1 species
GUCUAUGGCCAUGCCACCCUGAACAAGCCCGAUGUCUGAUCUUGGAAACUAAGCAGGGUUGAGCCUCAUUAGUACUGGGAUGGGAGACCACUUAGGAAGACCAGGUGCUAUAGGUG